GCAAACUUGGUCAUUUAGAGGAAGUAAAAGUCGUAACAAGGUUUCCGUAGGUGAACCUGCGGAAGGAUCAUUAUCGAAAACAUGCAAGUCCAAAGGGCUAAGGGGGGGAAGACUGUCGCUGGCAGACGUUUGCAUGUGCACGUCCUCCUCUAUCCUUUCCUUUUGGCAACACAUCGUUACACCUGUGCACCUACUGUAGGUCUGUUCCUCCCUCGCUCGGGGGAGGGUAGAUCUAUGUCUCUCUAUCACACCGAACGUAUGUCUACAGAAUGUCUAAUGAAAAUGGGAUAAAAAUUGUAAUACAACUUUCAGCAACGGAUCUCUUGGCUCUCGCAUCGAUGAAGAACGCAGC
rnacentral:misc_RNA from 1 species